UACGUAGGGGGCAAGCGUUGUCCGGAUUUAUUGGGCGUAAAGAGCGUGUAGGCGGCCAUGCAGGUCCGUUGUGAAAACUCGAGGCUCAACCUCGAGACGCCGGUGGAAACCGUGUGGCUAGAGUCCGGAAGAGGAGAGUGGAAUUCCUGGUGUAGCGGUGAAAUGCGCAGAUAUCAGGAGGAACACCGGUGGCGAAGGCGGGACUCUGGGCCGAUACUGACGCUGAGGAGCGAAAGCGUGGGGAGCAAACAGG
rnacentral:rRNA from 1 species